CCUACGGGUGGCAGCAGUGAGGAAUAUUGGUCAAUGGGCGUAAGCCUGAACCAGCGAAGUCGCGUGAGCGAUGAAGGUUCUCUGGAUCGUAAGCCUUUUUUAUAAGGGAAUAAAGUGUGGUACGUGUCCUAUAUUGUCUGUCCCUUAUGAAUCAGGACCGGCUAACUCCGUGCCAGCAGCAGCGGUAAUACGGAGGUACCGGGCGUAAUCCGGAUUUAUUGGGUUUAAGGGGUGCGUAGGCGGCGGUUUAAGUCAGCGGUGAAAGCCUGUGGCUCAACCAUAGAACUGCAGUUGAAACUGGGAGGCUUGAGUAUGUUUGAGGCAGGCGGAAUGCGUGGUGUAGCGGUGAAAUGCGUAGAUAUCAGGAAGAACCCCGAUGGCGAAGGCAGCCUGCUAAGCCAUGACUGACGCUGAUGCACGAAAGCGUGGGGAGCAAACAGGAUUAGAUACCCUAGUAGUC
rnacentral:rRNA from 1 species